UGUGUUCUACACCUGAGGUAUCUGAAUCGGUGGGGGGUGAGAAAGCUGUUUCUGGAUAAUCCAGUGGUUGUCAGCUAUCCAGGCUUGUAUGAUGCCUGGGAUGGUGUUACACUGCUGGAAGAGCAAGCACUGGCUCCACUGAGUUUUGGCCCCCUGCACUGUUUUGGUGCUGGGGUCAAGAACUCUGAGCAGUGUUUUGCACCUCUGAGAGUGGAAUGACUCCUCCUAUGGAGUUAGUCCUAGUCUGGGUGCAAACAGUUAGUUGAUAUCUGUUAAAAAGGGGUCCUGUCCAGGUACAGGACAGCUUCUCAUUCCUUACCUUGUUGAAUCUAGAUGCCAUCUCCUAAAUGAGAAACCAGCACCUGCUAGCACCUCAGCUGACAGUCCAUGGUGACAUCAGAGGGAAACUGGAAUUAGAUGGCCAAGACAGCUGGUGUAAAUAUUUAAGGGCCCAAGCUGCCUUAAGUAGCAGUUAAUAACCAAAACUACCACUCUUAAUUGCUUCAGCCAAGUUUCAGGUUCCAGUCCUGAACCAUAUUAAGAGGAAACUUUUUAAGGCCACAAGGAGAGAGCUGGAUGGGAAGUGGUGCCCAUAUGGGAUCCUGAUGCAUGCAAGGUGAGGAUUUGGCCCCUAG